GGCAGAGUGGCCUCUGUGGCCAGGGAGCCGCAGGCAAGGGACUAAGGGGAGGGGGGCUCAGUGCCAGCUGCUUAAAAAUGCCCUGUGGCAGUGAGGGGCUCCAGAGUCUAGGUCAAAUUAGUUGAGAAGCAGUGACACCCUCAGCCACUCCCCACACAGGCUGGCUCCCAUCUCCAGGCCCCAAGGAGCCACACCUGGACCAGACCCCAGGAAAGCUAUCUCAAGACUUCCUGAGAACCCUCCGACGGACCUCACGGAACGGGCAGAAUAUGUGUGGUCGACGUCCCGGGAGUCAGAUUCUGUGCUGAACAGCUUGCAUUAUCAUUUCACUGUCCUGGGGAUUCCUGUGAGGCAGGAAUCAGCGUCAUUCCAUCACUCUCACUUUCUAGAGAAGGAAACCACUGCAGCUCACACAAUGUCACACAACUAAUAAGUGGCAAAGGGGAUUUCAACCCAGUCUACGCAUCUGCAGAACGCACACCCUUGGGCUGCCCACCGUGACACCUAUGAGGGCGGUGAUGAAGAAUCCCACGUCGCAGAGGAGACGGAGGCCAGGAAGGAGGCCCUGCGGGAGCCUGAGCCCAUCUUCGAGCUCUGAGGCCGCUCCUCUCCCUUCAACCCUGUUGCUGCCCCGCAUUGGUCCCUCGGAGCCACACCACAGCCCUUUGGGCAAAAUCAGCCCCUUCCCAGCCUGGCCAGUUCUGAGGAAAAGUGACACUGACACCUAUUCUUUUUUUUUUUUUUGAGAUGAGGUUUCACUCUGUUACCCAGGCUAGAGUGCAGUGAUGCUUCUCAGCUCACUGCAAACGCCACCUCCCAGGCUUAAGUGAUCCUUCCACCUCAGCCUCCCAAGUAGCUGGGAUUACAGGUGUGUGCCACCAUGCCUGGCUAAUUUUUUGUAUUUUUUUAAUAGAGAUGGGGUUUCGCCCUGUUGUCCAGGCUGGUCUCAAACUCCUGGGCUCAAGCAAUUCUCUAUCCUCAGCCUCUCAAAGUGCUAGGAUUACAGGCAUCAGUUACCACUCCCAGCCAACACCUAUCCUUGAGGAACAGAAAGAUCCAGGCCCCAUACCAUACAUCAUCACUGACUCAAGUGGCUGUGUCUGACUCCUGGGUGAGCCUGAGGGGUUCAGGGAGGUAAUCUCUGAGGUCCUCAUUGCUGAGCUGUGCCUGGGCAUGGCCUCUUCCUGCAAUUUUCCAACUAAACUGUCCCAGGGGUUCAGCGCCGUGGGGUGGUUCAAAGAACUGUGACAAAGGUUGUUCGGAAUCGUUGCAAUGACCAUUUUUCUCCACAUCUCCUGCUACCCAUAAGCCAGAGUCUCUCUGUAGCUUAUACCUAGAAGGGGUUCUGGGUCCUGGGGUGCAGGCCUGUCAGCUUUACAGGAGAGCACAAGAUUGCUUUCCAAAGUGGCUGAACCAGGUUACGCUCCCAUCAGCAGUAUGUGAGCGUCCCCAUCCCCUUGACCACACUUGAAGUCAUCAGAUUUCUUAAAGCAUGUGGGUUGCACACUUUGUUUUGCAUGUAUCAAAUUCAUAUAGUAAAAAAUGUAAGGAAGACAUGGAAAUAAAAACAUAGCUUUGUCUUCUAUAGGCUGCUGUACACCUGUGCACGAGGGUGUCUAGAACUUUGCCCUCCAUGCACAAGUUGCAGAAUACUGUCAUCAGGAUACUUACAAAGGCCCUGGAAUGGGAAUGAGCACUGCCUAUGUGGUCCUCCCCCAGCUCAGCAGUAUGCAGUGGCCAGGAUCCAAUCAGAGGUCGCCUGGGAGGGUGAGUUGCAGGAAUUUGGGGGAAAGAGCCCAAGGUGGCUGCUGCCUGCUAACAGCUUGUCUAGACAAGCCUCACGGGGCUUCACCACACAUUGCGAGAGCCCCGGCCAGCCCCCUGCCCACUUGCAAAAGAAGCUGUUGGCAGCAACACUUCACCACCAGAAACCUUUACUCCAGUUUGAAAUAUGCCUUAAUGCACAGUGUGAAUUACCCACUCUCAUGGCCCACAGAGGUUGACUCCUUCAGGCCCCCUUUUGUUCACAUGAGGAAACUGAGGCUGACUCCGAAGCCAGGGUGCUUUCAGAUAUGGAGUGGAUCCCUGUGCCCAAGUGACGAGGGGACUAGGUGGGUCUGGAGCAGGGCUGGAGCAGGCUCAGAUGUAGUAGGCUGGUAGCUAAAGGUGCCAGAUGUGAGCCAGGCAGCUGGGUUUGAGUCCUAGAUCUGCAUUAUAGCAGCAAUAGGACUUUGGGUGACUUACAUAGGUGCUGUAUGCCUCAGUGACCUCAUCUGUAAUAUAGAGGUGACAAGAGUACUGUCUCAUUGAUCUAUUGAGUUGUCUGGAUUAACUCAUUAAAUUAAUUAAAACUCAUGAAGCCCUUGGAACAGUGACUGACACAUAUUAAGUACUCAGUAAAAAAUAGCUGCUAAGGCCAGGCAUGGUGGCUCAUACUUGUAAUCUGAGCACUUUGGGAGGCCAAGGCAGAAGGAUCCCUUGAACCCAGUAUUUUGAGACCAGCCUGAAGGUCACCAUAAGGAGACUCUGUCUCUACUAUAAGUUUUUAAAUUAAAUUUUAAUAAUAAUAGUAACUGCCAAAAUAUGAUUAUUAAAGGCAGCAUCUUCACAGUGCAAAGAGAUGCUCUUCGGGGUAUCACCUCUUUGGACUUUGGGGGAUUAACUGCCCUUAUUCCUUCAAAAUAACACCUGCCAUAUAUCAAGCCCUUUCAAGUACCUGGCCCUUUACCCAGCACUCUGAGGCAAAUACCAUUAUCUCUCUAGGCACACAAAGGCUCAGAGAGGUUUAGUCAUUUGCCCAAAGUCAUACAGCCUGUACGAGGCCAAGCCAGGACUCAAACCCAGUUCUGACUAGUUCUAAAAUUAUGUGUUUAACUGUUGUACUCUCGGACCACCCACAGUGGGUCUGUGAAGCUGAACUAGCUCUGGUUCUGACCUGCCUAGUAGGGCCUUUGGCAUUUGAGGGAGGAGGCCAUUGGAAGUCCGAAGCCCCCUUCCAGACUAGGCAUGAUUGCAAUAGGGAAGAGAUAGACUCUUCAACUCCCCUACCCCUGCUCAGGCUCAAAAAUGCAGACCCUGGGCCAGGCGUGGUGGCUCACACCUAUAAUCCCAGCACUUUGGGAGGCCGAGGCGGGUGGAUCACGAGGUCAAGAGAUCGAGACCAUCCUGGUCAACACGGUGAAACCCUGUCUCUACUAAAAAUACAAAAAAUUAGGUGGGCAUGGUGGCGCGUGCCUGUAAUCCCAGCUACUCAGGAGGCUGAGGCAGGAGAAUUGCUUGAACCCAGGAGGCGGAGGUUGCAGUGAGCCGAGAUUGUGCCAUUGCACUCCAGCCUGGGUAACAUGAGCGAAACUCCGUCUCAAAAAAAAGAAAACAAUGCAGACCCUGGCAAAACAGUCCUUCUUAUCCAGAAGCACUCUGUAGGGUGGGCUGAGCAACUUUGAGGGCCUCGUCAGUCUUGGGCUGCCCCAUGCUCUGCACAGCCCACCUGAGGUUUGAGGAAAUGGCAGUCAGUUAGGCCCAGACUGGAGAAAGCCAGCCCACCAUGGCUCCUCCCCAAGAACCCCCAGCCAGCCACAAGCCUAAGCCCCCUCCUUAAAGAUUCCUCCUCUGGGCCAGGCACAGUGGCUCACACCUGUAAUCCUAGCACUUUGGGAGGCCAAGGUAGGCAAAUUGCCUGAGCUCAGGAGUUCGAGAUCAGCCUGGUCAGCAUGGUGAAACCCUGUCUCUUCUAAAAAUACAAAAAAUUAGCUGGGCAUGAUGGCACACACUGUAGUCCCAGCUACUCGGGAGGCUGAAGCAGGAUAAUCGCUUGAACCCAGGAGGCAGAAGUUGCGGUGAGCCAAGAUCAUGCCACUGCACUCCAGCAUGGGUGACAGAGUGCAACUCUAUCUCAAAAAAAAAAAAAAAAAAAAAAAAUGAAAGUUCAAAACUGCUCUGCUGCCACAUACUAUCCUUCUCCUCCCCCUCCAGGGAAGCAAUGACAGGGGUGAAGUGUCUAGAGAGAGGUUGCCUGCUGGCCUAGAGAUGGCAUCCACAGAGGCUAUGACACCUGGAAUGCCCAGCCCUGGCUGGGCUGCCAGGCUCAGAGGUGCCCAGUCAGCCUGCCCAAAGCAUGCCAGCCACCAGGCAUGUGAUCCAACAACCCUGAUGAGUCUAAGAGCAUCUGCCCAGAUGAGCUGAGCAAGACAGAGAGAAGGAGAAAGAGGCCAGCUAGAACCAGGAAUGGCUCUGCAGCCAGCACACCUGGGUAAAUGCCUCGCUCCUCUGGGGCCUCAGGCUGUGAGGUUUCAUGGUUUGGGACAAAGAGGACAGAUGAGGUCAUUUCAUGUGUGACAGCAGACACCUGGAUUCUCAGAGAGGGAACUUCUGUGGAGCUGGGGGCGUGCCCUGGACAGACAGAGAAGACAGCAUUCCAGGUGGAAAGCUCUGUGUACAAAGCUAUCGAAGCAGGACUGCAGAGGCAUUUUUGGAGAACAGCAGAGAAGCCCAGUUGGCUGGAACCAAGAGUUGGUCUGAAGUUCAGCAAGGCUGGAAGUUGGCAAAACAGGGAAGGUCUAGAUUGUGUGGUGGCUUUGACAACAGGAAUCAAAGCUUCAGAGCUUAGGAAAAGUCCUCCUUGGUAUCUCUCUGUCCCUGGGAGGGAGUCCCUUUCUUUAGCCUAUUUUUCCCCCUCCCCAAAACACCAUCAACCAAGAACCCCAGUUCAGGGCAGAGACCUAGGAAUUUGGAUUAUGGGCAACUCUCAGAUGUCAGGCAAUGAAGAGAGGAGAGCUCAGGUGGGACUAGGAGGGGUAGUAAGCCCGAGGGCUGCAGACACCAUCUUCAGACCUCUCCAGAGCUUCAGAUCAACUCGCUGUGGCUCACACCUGUAAUCCCAGCACUUUGGGAGGCUGAGGCAAGCAGUACAGGAAUUGAGGAGUUCAGGAGUUUGAGGUCAGCAGUUCGAGACCAGCCUAACCAACAUGGCAAAAAUCCAUCUCUACUAAAAAAAUACAAAAAUUGGCCAGAUGUGGUGGUGGGUGCCUAUAAUCCCAGCUGUUGAGGAGGCUGAGACAUGAAAAUCACUUGAACCUGAGAGGCAGAGGUUGCAGUGAACUGAGAUGGCACCACUGCACCCCAGCCUCUGUCUCAAAAAAUAAACAUAAAAAAACACAUUCAACUUACAAUAUUUUUCAUUUACAAUAAACUUAUCAGGAUUUAGUGCCAUCAUAAGUUAAGGAACAUCUGUAGUGAGCUCCUCAUCACCAGAGGUGUGUGAGCUUAGUAGGGACACCAUAAAGAGAAGCCAAACAUCAGAAGAGGUUGGGCAUCAUGGACUUCCCUACCACCAGCCUCAGAUCUCACUUGCCAGCUCUAGCUGCUUUGAGACAAUCAUGAGUGGAGCCUUCCUGCAGCCUGGAUGUCACAGUCCCAGCCAGACAUGACAUCAGUUCUGCCCUCACAUUGCACAGGGGCCUCUUGGACCUCCCACCUCCUACCUCCCACUUCCUUUCUGCUGCUGCCUCCUGCUUUCCCAGGGGACACUAGGCCUGACCAAAGGGACUUGGAUCCUGGUUGUGAGAUGGAGGUCCCCAGGGAGCAUUCAGCUGAUGGCCUUCCGCCCAGCAGGAAUGAGACGAAGGGGGCCAGGGUUCCUGGGAGCCCUGUUCACACGCUCUACAGAGUCUGCAUGGAAAUUCCAGGAGGGUCACAGGAAAGCUUCAAAUUGAGAACCACAAUGCUUUAUUUUUUUCCCAUUUCUCUUCUGUUCCAUCCUUUCCCUCAGUAGUUAGUUGGAGGAGGGUGGCGGUCAUAGGAGGCUGGGAAAGGAAAGCAAGCAUCCUCUUGGGCUGAGUCACAGAAAGAGCAUGGAGAGACGGAGGGUGUGGGGUAGAUUAGGAGGCCCACCAGACAGGGCUUGGAGCGGUGGACAGCAGUGUGGGAGAGGAUGGAGGAGUCAAGGGCAUGGCCAGGCCUGUGAGGGUCCUGGAGCAGUGGGCAACUACACUGCCUGGGCAGGCAUGCCUCCCUAGACACUCAAGACCAGAGCUGCCAGGGCCUGGGUUCAAGCUGGGUUCAGGAGUUAGCCCAGGGGUGUCUAGAAUAAAGACAGAAGGAUCUUGGGAAUGGGGCUUCCAAGAAUCUCAGGCAAUGCGCCCCCACCUCACAUGGACUGCAGAGCUCAGGGUCUUACAAUAUCCAUCUCAUUCCCUCUGGCGCCCCUGGUAGAUGCUUCAUAAAUAUUCCCAGUGUUGAAUCCCAUACCCAUUGCAUCAUAGUCCUUUCAGAGCUGAGGGACCUUAAAUAGCAUCAAGGCCUAUCUCCUCAUGUUAUAGAUGCAGAGACUGAGGCCCAAUGUCAGGGAGCAAUGCUCCCAAAAUCGUGCUGCCGGUGACCACAUCCUUUGCUUCUUCUCUGCCUUCUAGCCAAAGAUAGAGACUAUGGUACACUUUUCACAGCCAAGGGCAGGGGACAGAGGAGAGGCAGGUGCCCUGGCAGGAUGCAACUAUCUCCAAGACAUAGUUAGAGGACGGCAGCCUAUCUUGAGUUCUGACUGUUCUGUCCAGGAGUUCCCUUUCAGUGGCCAGAGAUGUUCCCCAAUGCUGUUGGCCUCUUGCAGAGGAAAGAGCCUGAGGUGGGAAGGGAAACCCUUGAUUCUAUUCCUGGCCCAAGCUUUGCUUUAUAGCUGUGAAAUUCCCAGAGAGACAAAAAGCUAAGAAAACCCUUAAGAUCACCCCCAGAGAGGGUCCACAGAUGGCUCAAGGUCACACAGCAAACUAGGAAUGGGCCUUGGAUUUUCUGACUCCCAGGCCAGUGCUCUUGCCACUCACCACGCUGCUUUCCAGAAUAACAGGCAUAUAAGCUGUCCUCGUGUGGACCCCAGCAUUGAUUUAGCUUGGCGGAUUAAACUCCCACACAGGGAGCUACAAUCUCUUCCCCUGGCUGGGACUCAGUUUCUUCUUCUAUAAAACAGAUGGCCAGGCAUGAUGGCUCAUGCCUGUAAUCCCAGCACUUUGGGAGGUCAAGGCAGGUGGACCACCUGAAAUCAGAAGUUCAAGACCAGCCUGACCGAUAUGAUGAAAACCUGUCUUUACUAAAAAUACAAAACUUAGCCAGGCUUGGUGGUGGGCACCAGCAGUCCCAGCUACUCAGGAGGCUGAGACAGGAGAAUCGCCUGAACCUGGGAGGCAGAGGUUGCAGUGAGCCAAGAUCCUGCCACUGUACUCCAGCCUGUAGGACAGAGUGAGAGUGUGUCUUGAAAAAAAAAGACACACAGGGUGGACCAGAUGUCUCUAGGAGCGCUUCUGCCAUAACACUAAGGAUCUACCAGGACCCUAGUGCUUUCCUGGGAAGCCUCUGCUGACACCUACCUCAACCCUAUCUUCCCCAAAGGUAGGGCCACCCAGGCCAGGAAAUCCCACCAAGUCUUCCCCACAUUCUACCCUGUCCCACCCCAGACCCUGGGGCUGGACUUCAUCCAGAACUACAGGCUCCAGCCCAGCUCCCCCUCUGAGGAUCUGGACUUUUUCUUACCAUAAAAGGGCAAGCGUGCCUCUCUUGGUCCCUGCUGCCAGCCCCGCUGGGGGAAAGACUGAGCUAUUUUUAGAAAACUCAAGUGUUUGCUCCUGAACUCAAGAUGGGGCAUCUCUGCGCCUGCACCCUGGGAGCCCCUUCCCAUCUUUCUUCCUCCUCCUUCUCCUCCCAUCGCUAUCUCCCUUCCUUUUCUCUUCCUCUCUGUCUUGCUCUCAGUCUCAUCCAACCAUCUCUCUUCCCUUUUCUCCCCCUAUGCUCCCACCUUGAAUUGCUGUUCUCUCUUCCUUCCGCCUCACUUCUUCCUUCUCCCGAAAUCUUUUCAUAGUUAGCUUCCCUCCCCCACGUCUCUCCCUCAGAUCUCAUUUCUGGUGGUGGAAAAAAGUAACACAGCUGCACCCCCACCCCUUCUUAAACACUAUUUACAACAUAAAUUGCAAACAUCCGCCAUCUGGUUCUAGGAAGGCCCAAAAGCUAUUUGGAGAAGGAAGUCAUGAUUAUUCCAUCUUCAAAGCAAAAGGAACUUAAAGGCUCUCUUCUCUCCCACCUUCCUCCCGUGGCCCCUUUGUUUAAUAUCUGACCGAUCAAGAUCCCUAGUGAGCAGAAGAGGUCAGGACAUUUGCCGGAGUCCCAGCUGGACCUGUGACUGGCUGCAUCACUUUGAGUUCCUUGCUUCUCCUCUGCAUGCCUCAGUUUCCUCAUCUGAACAAUGGGUGAAAGACUAGGGUGCCUCCAGCACUAAGUUCCAAGACUUCAAGUACAGAAAAUCCACUUGGUCCAGGUCACUGGGGCCUACUUUGGGCUGAGCAACGAAGGGUAGGAUGAGGGCAAGGGAGUGGGAGGCAGUGAAGGAGCUCCAUCCUCAUCCCUUCAAGCACCAAUUUCUCUCUCGCUCCAUGGAGAUCUAUGCAGACCAUUCACCUGCAUUCACACCCACAAUCACACUGGGGAAUGGGGUGGGGUCACACUACCCCUCCAUGUCUGAUCUAGAUGGACUCUGGACACUCCAGAGUCCAGUCCUGUCUCCACCACAUCAUGUAGAUGCGAGCCCUUGAGGCCCAGAGAGGGGAAGACCCUUGUCGCAAUUACACAGCGUAUCUAUAGAAAACCUAUUACCUAGCCUGCUCCUCCUCCCACCCAACACAUUCCAGAAGAAACCAACAUUUGUAUUAUCUAGAAAGCAUUGCCCAGUCCCAACAAAGCUCCUGGAAUCCUGGAGGUCCCCUGUUUUUGCAAAGUUUACAGGACAAAGGGGGAAUAAUGCCUUUUUUUUUUUUUUAAGACAGUCUCAUUUUGUCACCCAGGCUGUUUUGCAGUGGGGCGAUCUCGGCUCACUGCAACUUCUGUCUCCCAGGUUCAAGCAAUUCUCCUGCCUCAGCCUCCCCAGUAGCUGGGAUUACAGGCACGCGCUGCCACACCCAGCGAAUUUUUGUACUUUUAGUAGAGAUGGGGUUUCACCAUAUUGCCCAGGCUGGUCUUGAACUCCUGACCUCAGGUGAUCCACUCGCCUCAGCCUCCCAAAGUGUUGGGAUUACAAGUGGGAGCCACUGCAACCUGCCAAGAACCAAUACCUUUAACAUGAUGUGGAUUUCUUUUAACAAACAGCACAGAGGGAAGAAAUACGGGCAAGAGGCAGAACACCACCAAAAGGAGAAGCCCUCUUGCUUCCGGCAACAAAUGGCGUUUCAGGGCUCAGAUGGUAUUCACUUAUACUGACAAUGCUUUCUCUGUUAACAAACCCCUCUCCACAAAGACUAACACACACCUAAAUCUUGCCAAGAGAUACUGACUCCAGUUAUCACUCUGUAAAAAUGAUGUGAUGAGUAGCUGGUCUUACAAGGGAGCUGUGAGAAUGCAUGUGGGGCUGCCUGGAGCCAGUCCUUACUAGCUGUGUAAUCGGGAGGGAGUGCUGUGACCUCUGGAGCCCCAGUAAAGCGGAGGUAAGAAUGGUACCUAAUUAUUCAAAACAAGGAUCUAUGAGUAAAGAAAAGAAAAAUUAAAAGAAUGGCACCUAAUUCAGCCAGGCACAGUGGCUUAUACCUGUAAUACCAGUGCUUUGGGAGGACAAGGCAAGAGGAUCACUUGAAGCCAGGAGUUCAAGACCAGCCUGGGCAAUAUAGCAAGACUCCAUCUCUACAAAAAAUUUAAAAAUAAAAAAUUAGUUGGGCAUGGUGGCAUGUGCCUGUGGGCCCAGCUACUCAGGAGGCUGAGGCGGGAGGAUCACUUGAGCCAGGAGCUCAAGAUUACAGUGAGCUGAUUGCACCACUGCACUCGAGCCUGGGCAACAGGUUGCCCUGGAAAGCAAGAUCCUGGAGAAUGAGACCCUCUCACUUCAAAGAUAAAAAAAAACGAAUGGUACCUAACUCAUAAGUUACUUUGAAGAUCAGAUGAGAAAAGCCUUGUAAAAUAAAGCACUUGGCAAGUGUGGGGUGCAUCAAAAGCACCCAAUGACAUGUUAGCUCUCAUUACAGCUCGUCCCAGCGUGCCUGGUGCACAGGUGACGGCUUUUACCUUUGUCACUCUUUUCCCAGUUUCUGCCCUCACUAAAGGGCCAAGUGACAGGGAUUCACAGGGAUCCUGGUGGCUAUUCCCCAUGUGCCCCAGGGCCUGAGCGCUCGAGGCAAGGCUUGGGAUUCUAGGCUGGGCAGGUCAUGUUUCCCCCCCACCCCGUCUCUUCCCUUUUCCCUGCAAUGCUCUUGUUUCUGCUUCAAACUGCGUUCCCAGGGCUUGCUCAAAACUCCCCGGAGCAACCCUCCCUGGGGAGGAAGUGGGGAGCGUGUGAGGCUGGUGAACUCAUCUGGGUUGUCAAGGGGGCUGGAGGGCACUCUGGGAACAGAGGCCUGGGGAAGCUGUGCGACAAAGGGGACAUGGAAGGGGCCAGUCAGGGGCUCCCACAGCUUCCCCAGAUGCUUCUUCCGACCUUUGCUCUCUCCCGGCUUCUGCUCUUCCUCCCAAGGCUGGGCUUCACUGCGGCCCAGCCCCAUGCUAAUAAUAGAAAUGGCAGCCAUUUAUCAUGGGCUUAUGAUGUGCCUGGAAAUAUGCUCGCACUUGACAUCUGCCUCAUUUGACCUUCACAAACAAGCCUGUGAGGUCGGAAACAGGCUCAUGGAGGUGAAGACACCAGCUUUAGAUCACACAGCUAGGAAGUGCUAGUGGCAAGAUUCAAACAUGGGUCUGCAUGACUGCAAGCCCUGUGUCUUUUCUUUCCAGAAUAUGGUAGAAACCCUAGGGCCCUGGAGCCCAAGGAGAGCAAGGACUAUAACAAGUACACAGGCGUGAGCAAGCUGAGGAAGGGGAACUGUGGGCAAAGAGUCCCUGUAGAAAGAACUGGGUGUGAGCACAGGUUUGUGAGCUUGCCUGGAGCCCCUGCCUCAGCCCUCUCCCCACUAAGGUGCCAUCUGGCUCCCAGAUGUGGCCCAUUCCCAGACCCUCAUGUUUCUUAGAAAUGAGCAAGACCAGGAAAGGGCACAGGGGCUUUUGCAAUGACCGUGGCGAUGAUAGCUUUGACUUGUGGUCAUCCAGCCAGCCACUGCCCAUGCCCAGAAGAAAGCUGGAUUGAGCAUGAAGAGCCUGGGUUCAAGUCCUCUCAUGCUGUUCCCCAGGUGACCCUGGGCAAAUCCCACAGGCUCUUGGAACUUCAGAAAGGGGAAAAAUUAUUCCUACCUCUGGUGCUGUCAGUGAGCGUGCCUUGAGUUAUGGGAGGGAGCGUUUUGCAGGCUGGAAGCUUUACGUACAUGGAAGGGGUCAAAGACAGCCAUGAGCCUGUCCCUUUGGUCUUGGUCAUCAUGUUAACCCUAGGUUUUAAUUUAGCCCUACAUGGCUCCUUUCUUAUGUGUGAGGCUGAGGUGGGGGCAUUGGUCAGAAGGGCCUCUGGGAAAUUUCUUUCAGGACAGUUCUUUUGUUAAGGGGCCUAGGUGUGCUGAGAAGGGAAGGUGGCCCCUCCUACUCUUGGAGCUUGGAGUUUCUCAGAAGUUCUCCCUUAAAAGCCAGGCAGGGCCGGGCGCGGUGGCUCACACCUGUAAUCCCAGCACUUUGGGAGGCUGAGGCAGGCAGAUCACUAAGUCAGAAGAUCAAGACCAGUCUAACCAACAUGGUGAACCCCAUCUCUACUAAAAAUACAAACAUUAGCCGGGCAUGUAAUCCCAGCUAUUCAGGAGGCUGAGGCAGAAGAAUUGCUUAAACCCAGGAGGCAGAGGUUGCAGUGAGCCGAGGCCACUGCACUCAGCCUGGGUGACAGAGCAAAACUCCAUCUCACACAAAAAAAAAAAGCCAGGCAGGCCAAGAAGGAAUAAUGGCUGCUCAGGGACCAAGGGAAGAUCUCAGUAGGUUCAGCCCAAGACUUCUGAAUACCUAGAGGUAGCCCAGGCCCAUCCUCCAUCCCUCAGAGCCUGGCAGCCUGGUCAGGACCUUCAAAGGCCACAACCGUACCUGUAAGGCAUCCCGGUGUCCUUCUGACAGGUGGGAUCUUUGCUUCUUUCAGGCAAGGGCACUAGCUGGUGAAAGCCACCGCUGCCACACUGUUGUUGGAGAAGCAAGAACUCAGGAGAAGCAGCCUCCUGGGACAAGAGGAGGGCCAGCAGCAGCCAGCUUGGAGACAGAACUGUGAGCCCACCCCACCUCCACCCUUCCAGUACCCACAUUCGCUCCCCACCCCAGCCCACCUGCAGGCAGCUCCUGGAGUAACCUGAGUCCCUCAGAAUAAACUCCCCACCCUAACCUCAGAACGACCAAGAAAGCAGGCCUCAGGAUGAUGAGAAGCAGCAUGGGCCUUGGUAAAGGAAGGCCCCCACUGAUUGGUGGCAGUGCAGGCAGUUCGGGCCUGUUAGGGUCUGGGUUGUAGGUAAAAAGAAGUUGAACCAAAGCAGGGAAAUCCAACCAGGAGCCAAGAAUCCAGUCUACCCCAUCCUCCUUACAAAAUGGCAAUGCAAAGCCCAUGUGAUGUGGACAUAAAGCCUCUGUUAUUCAACUUGAUUCAGUGAAUAACAGACUGGAGAGAAAUGUGGAGAAUAAUAGUCAUCCUCCCUAGAAAGGAGUAAACAGAGUUCAGCUUCAGAAGCAGGAAGACCUGGGGCUAUGUGAUCUUGGAGGAGUCAAUCAACCUCCCUGAGCCUAGUGAUAAAGAGCCAACUCUCAGGGCUUUGAGAGGGUUUGUGAGAUUGGGCUGGCAUCCCCAGCUGCAGCCCUUGGCACAUUGUGAAACUCAGGAAAAUGGAGCAGUUUUUACCAUUCAUCACAUUAUUCCUACACUUGUCAAUGUUUAAAGAUACUUUCAGGCCGGUCACGGUGGCUCACGCCUGCAAUCCCAGCACUUUGGGAGGCUGAGGCAGGUGGAUUACGAGGUCAAGAGAUCAAGACCAUCCUGGUCAACAUGGUGAAACCCCAUCUCUACUAAAAAUACAAAAAAAAAAAAAAAUUAGCUGGGCAUGGUGGCGUAUGCCUGUAGUCCCAGCUACUCAGGAGGUUGAGGCAGGAGAAUUGCCUGAACCCAGGAGGCGGAGGUUGCGGUGAGCCGAGAUCGCGCCAUUGCACUCCAGCCUGGGUAACAAGAGCGAAACUCCAUCUCAAAAAUAAAUAAAUAAAUAAAGAUACUUUCAUGCUUACGGUGGAACUCAUAGGGUUAGGUGCCAGUUCCAUAAGACAAGAGGAGAAACUGAGGCCUGGGGAGGUGAAAGCAUUCACUCAGAAUUGCACGUACAGUCAGUUGCAAAGGGGAAUUCUGGCACCAGCUCUCAUGUGGAUGGAAAAAGUGCAGGAAGAUUUGGAGGUGAGCAGAGGAGAAGGGAGGAGGAGGCAGGUUUCCAGGAAAGGAGCUGACACUGGGAUGUGGGACAAGGCCCAGGCCUGUCUUACAUAACAAGGUCCACCUGUUCACCCCUCCAUGCCCCACACAUGUGCAAACGUGUGCCCCGGCACAGUGCACACCCGGUCCUCCCUCACUAGCAAAUGAGCCACAGAGACUGGGUCUAAACAAAUUGGAUUAGGAGGGCUGCAGGCGCCUCCUCCCCCCAACUGUCCGGCUCUGACACUAACCAGGCCUGCGGAACUGCCAGCUGGGAUCUCUCAGACACACUGACAGUCGGUUCUUGGCUCCCUCACCCCACCAUGGGCCUCAGGAAGGGGGUCUGGGUCCGAGAGGAUGCCACAGUGAUGGAUGGGGUGAGGGAGGUUCCAGGGCUAACUCAACAGCACACAGGAUGUUAGUGCUUUUGUGAGGCACAUUUCCGAGCUGUUCCCAGGCCCACUCCUUCCUCCCCUCUCCCCCUCCUCUCUGACAGCCUCUCCUAUGGCCAUUGCUGCUGUCUGGGACUUGGGCCCAGCCUGAGGCUCCAACCAGAGCCCAGAGCCCUGUCCUUGAGCAGAUCCACUUCAUCUCUUAGUCCUGCAGCUGGGCUGAGCGGGGAGUGGUCAGCUCAGAAGACACUGACCUGGAGAUGAGAUACAGGGGAUGCUUCCGUAGGAAGAAGGAGCUUGUGGACAGACAAUGCGGUCUUAAAGGUGGCAUCUCGGUGCGUUCUCAUCCCUUGUUUCAUUCCAUCCUCAGAAUGUGGCUGGGAGUGAGGGGAUGGCUGUGACUCCCAAAACUUCUUUACUUGAUGAUUCCACAAUAUCCCUUUCUGAGAGCCUGAGCCUGUGCCGCACCCUGUGUGAUGUGCCAGGAACACCAGGGUGUUCCCCUUCCUUCAUAGAACAGCCUCCUUCAGGCUGGGUCAUUGGGCACUGGGGCCUCUCUGGUCUUCCAGGGGUGCAGCUUCACAGAAUCCCUUUUCCAUAAGGCACGUGGAAGUGACUGGAGUGGGAGCCUUGACAACCAGCCAAUCCAGAACACAGACCUUGAUGUCAGACACGAGUUCAAAUCCUGCCUUGCUCCCUUUCAGCUGGAAAGCUGCUGUCAGAUAACUUAGCCUCUCCAAGCCAGUUUUGCCUUCUGCGAAAUGAGGAUACACAAGCUGCCACCUCACAGAGUGACUGUGAGAAUUAAUUCUUAUUUUUCACAUCCUCAUUGGACAGAGGGAGACACAGAAGCCCGGAGAGGGAAAGGGCUUGGUUAGGAUCACAUCAUGAGCUGGGGUUUAAGUCAGGAUGGGGUAGGUCCCCUCUUCUCCGGGUGUUCCUCUCCCCCAUCUCUUAACUCAACAUAAAUCCUUCCCAGUUGCCCAGGUUGUCCAGGCAAUUCCUGGCGCUUAUGCUGGGGCCUGCCCUCCACCUUCAGCCCUGCUCUGGCCUCUUCAGCAGCAGAGUCCUGGGUGACCAGCAGUGGCCCCCAGCCCUCGGAGUGGCAGUGGAGGGUGGGGGAGCACUGCGGCCGGCUCCCAGCCCAGAUCACCCUGGCCAUAUAAGGGAAGGAGCCCAGGGAGGCCUCCUGGCUCAGGUCCCGAGAGAAAACCCAGACAGCCACUGUUUAUUUUCUCCUGCCCAGCUCACCCACGCUUCCCUAAGCCUCCUGACAGAAGACAGAGGUUCCCCCCAGACCAGCAACAGUUCCUGAAGACAUGGGGAGCACAGAGGCAGAAACAGUCCAUCUACCCACAAGCUGUCAGCAGCCAGUACCCAGAGCCACCAGGUAAAACUGAGGCCACCUGGUUCAACGUUGCCUUUCACAGAAGGGGAAAUAGAGCCACAAAGAGAAGGGCCUGGUGAGAAGUGGAACCCAGGACUCCCAAGCGGUGUCUCUCAACCUUGGAAUCCAGAGUAGGAGGGAGCCUUUGGUGGGGUAAGUGGAAUGGAGGGGCGCAGCCAUAGACCCCUCUUCUCAGUGAGGCCCUCAUGUGAUGGAGGCAGGGGUUGGGACAAGUGCUAAGUAUGCAAGACUCAAGGGAAGAGCUCCUGGAGCCAGGAGAAGCACCUCCCUUCCAGCCCCUCUGCCCCUCCCCUCAGCACAGCUGCACUGACUCCUCCUCCAGGAAGCCUUCUUAGCUUCCCUGGUUGGGAGGAGAACCUUUUUGUCCUCUAAGUGUGCUUGGCUGUCCUUUCUUGAGUGCCCCUCCCCUCUCCCCCCCCACUUGGGUCUGCCCCUAUUCACCUUGCCAGGCAUUUUCCUUCUACUCCACCCGACUGAGGUCCUCCAGGUCAAGGAUGGUGUGGCUCUCAGACCCACUUCCCCUUGGGACAUAGAAGAAGCCCUGCGCUGAAUAGACAGGUGAAAUGAUUAGACCCUGCUCCCAAACCAAAGGUCUAGCAAACCGGUCAGGGCAUGAGCCAUCCAGCGUAGAGGUUAACAUGAGGGCCCUGGGUUGGCAACCCCAGCUGAGUCCCCAGCUCUGUACCCUUGGAAAAUUCCCUUCCCAUGGAGCCUUGGGGAUAGGGACUUACACAGUGAAAACAUUUAAUAUCCAGGUCUAAACAAUUCCACAAAUGACCAUGCAUAUUACAUUCACUAUCUUUAUGAUUAUUCCAGACACAAAGGAACAGAACGAGGCACUGAUAGCCAGGGGUGAGCAGAUUCAAGGGCCUCAGAGGAGAGGGAGGCAAACACCCUCCGCUGGUCGGAGGCUGCGCUUCAGCCCUCGUCCCUGCAUUAGUUUCUCCCACAGAGGCGUGGGGCUGCCUCCCAUCUAGUUCCUGUUUCUAAACCCAGGGGAGAUGCUAUCUUUGCUGGAGUAAUCUUGGCCGACAUCCUGGAGUGGAAAUGGCCUUCAAUUCCCCUGGUCCAUGCUCAGGCCCGGUGACCCUAGAACAAUCCCCUUCCCUUCCUGGUCCUCCAUGUAGAAGCAAUAACAUUCCUUGACAGGGGCACCAGCUGUUCUGAUGAUUAAAUGGGAUCAGACACUGUUUCCUAAAAUCAGUCAUUCAGAUUCCCCUUAUUUUAUUUUUUUUCUGUAUGCAAUUAUAAUAUUUUAAAAUGUAAGAUGAGCCCCUCCUUUUUUUUUUGAGACGGAGUGUCGCUCUGUCACAAGGCUGGAGUGCAAUGGCGCAAUCUCAGCUCACUGCAACCUCCACCUCCUGGGUUCAAACGAUUCUCCUGCCUCAGCCUCCUGAGUAAAGGGAUUACAGGCACCUGCCACCACGCUCAGCUAAUUUUUUUUAGUAGAGGUGGGGUUUCACCAUGUUAUCCAGGAUGGUUUCGAUCUCCUAACCUCGUGAUCUGCCCACCACAGCUUCCCAGAGUCCUAGGAUUACAGGCAUGAGCCAUCAUGAUCGGUGGAUGAGUCCUUUUUAAUACAUAGAAAUAGCUACUGUAUAAACAAAAUUGUAACAUUGUACAUAACUAGGAAAUAAAGGUAACCACAAAUACAAUAAAAAUGAAACAAUGUUAUUAUACUUGAACCUGACAGUGUGGCUUGCAAGGCCCUGGACCUGAAGCCUGGGUGAUAAGCGAGAGUUAGAAAGGUGUCACAGACAUGACAGCACCAAGCUGAGGCUUCCUACCCUACAGUAAAUAGGACUGAAGCAAAUUGACACGGAGCAACAGCAUGGAUCUGUUGCUCCGUGUCAAUUUGCUUUCCAUUCUGUUGUGUCCUGUCUUCCAGCAGAGGUCACAAACUCCCCAAAAUCACUCACCCACCUGCUGCACUUGGGAAGCCAAAGGUAGUUUAUGUGGAAGGGCUUUGGAAACAAUCAGGCACCAAGCAAAGGCAGAAGACACACUUUGUCAGUUUAGUUCUUGGCAGCAAAUCAUCUCUUUUUCAAGAUAACCCUGCUUGAUUCCUACUGAAAUCUCCUUGCUGAUCAUGCUAAGCUCUUCUCUCCCAGGGCCAGUGGGAGCCAUGGAGAGUGGAGUAGACCAGUUGUCUGUGACUCCCCACCAAGGGAGUCCAAUGUUGGAACACUCCCCAGCCAAAUGCAAGGUUUUUUAAAAAAAUCUAUUUAUGUAUUUGUUUAGAGACAAGUCUAUGAGCCUGGCUAAUUUUUUGAUAGAGGCAGGAUUUCAUUGUGUUGCCAGGCUGGUCUUGAAUUCCUGGGCUCAAGUGAUCCACCCAUUUUGGCUUCCCAAAGUGCUGGGAUUACAGGCGUGAGCCACUGUGCCCAGCCGCCAAAUGCAGUUGAAAAGAGUUCCUGCAAGAGAAUUCCUCAGAAGAGGAAAGCAGUUUUCUGGCUGGAAAUACCUUAGACAGAGGCUGUCCGCUCCAUAGGCUGUCAGAACUGACCUGCAACCAUGAUAGACCAGAGGAAAACACUCUUUCCACUCUUCUCAGAGUGGAGCCUGACUUCAGAUUUCUGAUAGAGGUGUAAGAGACAGUCUUUUUUUUUUUUCCUUAAGAGACAAGGGCUCUCACAAAAAAAAAAAAAAAAAAAAAAAAUCCAGGUGUGGUGGCUCACACCUGUAAUCCAAGCACUUUGGAGGCCAAGGUGGGUGGAUCACCUGAGGUUGGGAGUUCAAGACAAGCCUGACCAACAUGGUGAAACCCUAUCUUAAAAAACAAAAAAAAAGAGAGAGAGAGAGAGAGAGACAAGGGCUCUCUGUGUUGCCCAAGCUGGUCUUGAACUCUAUCUAGUCUCAAACGAUCCUCCUGCCUGAGCCUCCCAAAGUGUUAGGAUUACAGGUGUGAACUCAGCUCUGUUUUUGUUUUUUUCAGGAGGUAUAUUUUUUCUGUUCUCUCUCAGCCCUGAGGAAAGGCUACCCACUGCUUCAGACAUUCCUGAAAAUAUAUGUCAUCCAACAUCAAGGCCACCACGGUGACCACUGAGCAAUGCAAGAAGGUCCUCCAGGGUGUCCUGAGAUCUUGGCAAGGCAGGAUGAGUGAGAAAGGGCUUUGCCAGCUCAUCUGAAAGUUCCCACCCAAGCCAGGCCCAGAAAAUAAAAUGAUUUAUCUACAUGGUCAUCCAGUCAGCUACCAAAUGGCAUUACCUGGGUCCAUCAGCAUGUACAAAGCCAUGGGCAAGACCCAGGGCCCCCUAAAUUAACAAGCCAUGGGCACUGUCCUCAGGAAGUGGAGAUCUAGCCAGGUCAGACCCACACACAGAUAACACUGAUACUAGAGAUAAUGAAAUUGGGAAAUAUGAUUCAGUCAUUCAACCUGGGUUCAUGUGGUGUCCACACCACCUGGCCCUGAUUUCGGUACUGAGCACAGUUGACAGGGUCCCUUUCCCUCAUAGGUGAGCCAUGCGGUCCACAGGUGGAGGUGGUUGUAAGUGAAAUCCACAUCACCAGCAUGGUAAAGGGUUAGAAAAAGGGCACAGCAUGGGUGAGAACAUGGAGCAGAGGGUGCUGAUGGAUAGAGAAGUCAAGGAAGAACUGGGCAUGGUGGCUCAUGCCUGUAAUCCCAGCACUUUGGAAGACAAAGGCAGGCAUAUUCCCCUGAUGUCAGGAGUUCUAGACCAGCCUGGCCAAUAUGGUAAAAUUCCUCUCCAUCAAAAAUACAAAAAUUAGCCAGGCAUGGUGGCGUGUGCCUGUAGUCCCAGCUACUUGGGAGACUGAGGCCUGAGAAUCGCUUGGACCAGAGAGGCAGGGGUUGCGGUGAGCCAAGAGUGCACCACUGCACACCAGCCUGGGCAACAGAGGGAGACUCUGUCACAAAGAAAAAAAGUCAAGGAGUGUUUCCCAGAGUGUCCACUUGAUUAGAGAGCUAGCGCAGGAGGAGGAGCUGUGCAGGGGGAGUGAGAAGGAGCAGCACAGUCCCUGGGAAACCCAAGGUUGGUGGGCCAGGGCUCCCUGGGAGAAUGAAAGGACAUCUGCGAGCUGUAGCCCAAGAGGAAGAAGCCACUGGAGCCAGAGGCGGCAGGCCCUCGCAGGCUUUGGUGAAGGCAUCAGAAUUUAGCCUGAGGGCAGUGGGGAGCCCUUAGCGAUAUUAAGCUUGAGAAAAAUAUGACCAUAUUUGCAUUUUGAAAAAUCAUUAUGGGAAGAUGGUUGGGAAGAGAGGAGGAGUGGCAGAAGAAAGCUAGGUUGGAGACAAUUGCUCAAUGAUAUAAAAUGUUAAGUACUUGCCGGGAGCGGUGGCUCACGCCUAUAAUCCCAGCACUUUGGGAGGCCGAGGUGGACGGAUCACAAGGUCAAGAGAUCGAGACCAUCCUGGUCAACAUGAUGAAACCCCGUCUCUACUAAAAAUGCAAAAAUUAGCUGGGCGUGGUGGCGUUCACCUGUAGUCCCAGCUACUCCGGAGGCUGAGGCAGGAGAAUUGCUUGAAUCCAGGAGGCGGAGGUUGCCGUGAGCCGAGAUCGUGCCAUUGCACUCCAGCCUGGGUAACGAGCGAAACUCCAUCUCAAAAAAAAAAUUAAAAAAAAAAAAGUGAAGUACCAUGAAUGAUGCUGUUUUGCUGGGAUGAAGCAUGCAGCAUGAAGGUGGGACAUGGCAUUGAAAGGUGGGUUAACAUAUUAAAUAAUUCCAUGUGGCUGGUCCGAGUGCAGUGGUGUUUACAACUAAUUGAUCACAACCAGAUUUCUUUGUUCCUUCUCCACUCCCACUGCUUCAUUUGACUAGCCUAAAAAAAGAAAGAAAGAAAAAUAUAUAAAUAAUUCCAUUUGUUGAAAUAUUAGAAUAGACAGAUCUAUAGAGACAGAAGGAGAGUGGUCUGCCCAGGACUAGGGGUUGUCUAAAGAUAAGGGGCUUCUUUUUGGGGGGUGGUGAAAUAACCUGAAAUCUAUUGUGGCAUUGUUUGAAUCUAUUAAAACCCACUUAAUUGUACUGAUUAAAUGUUCUCCUUCUAAAUUAAGCUGUCUUGAAAAGAAAAGGAUGGUCAGGGUUUGGUCCUAGGGACUCAAAUGGCAGGCCAUGCACAGGAAACGCAGCUGUGGGGAGUUACAGCAGCAUCCUGAGCAGAGCUGGAGGGGUGGAGCCUGGGUCCCCUCUAAUGCCCCUUCUCCUGGCCAGGUUGGAGUCCCACCGCAGGCCAGCAGAGCGGAGCAGCACGGCCCUGUCUCCCAGCCUGAGGUGCAGUGCUGCAUCUCUGGUCAGUUGGGAGUCUGAGAUGAAGCACUGUAGCUCAGGAAGAGAGAAGUUGUUCUGCAGCCACCAGCCUGGGGGUGGUAAGUGCUGGGGGCCUGGGGGUGGUAAGUGCUGGGGGGCUGGGGGUAGGGCUGUCCCAGGAAGGACAGAGUGUUUCCAGACUCUAUACUGUCAGCGACUUGUGAUACUGGGGAAGUUCCUUGACACAGGUUCCCCUGGUUCCACAAUCCGCCUCACUGAGUCUCAACGUGUCCUGGCUCCUCUGUGUACCCCAGUGAGUGUUAGCAUUUCCCUAGCAUCCUGCAUCCGCUUUCUCUUUCUGAGUCCAUGGCAGACACAGCUAAUCAGUAAAGUCAUACAUUCUUUUUUCUGAGACACAAUCUUACUCCAUCACCCAGGCUGGAGUGCAGUGGCAUGAUCUCAGCUUGCUGCAAACUCCUCCUCCCAGGGUCAAGUGAUUCUCGUGCCUCAGCAUCCCAAGUAGCUAGGAUUACAGGUACACGCCACCACACCCAGCUAAUUUGUGCAGUUUUAGUAAAGAUGGGGUUUCACCAUGUUGGCCAGGCUGGUCUUGAACUCCUGACCUCAGGUGGUCCGCCCUCCUUGGCCUCCCAAAGUGCUGGGAUUACAGACAGAAGUAACUACACCCGGCCAGGCACCCAUUCUUGAAAUGUUCUCAGAUGCAACUUCAGAAUCCUCAGCAAUGAGCCCUGGAGAGCCACUUAAUAGUGGCUGAUGCACAGCUGACACUCAUUCAACAUUUCUGCAAACUAUUCCUAAAAACCUCUCAGCCCUGAAGACAAAAGUUCUGGCCUUUGAGUCAGGGUCUUCACUCUGUGCUUCUAUCCUUGGCUCUGGGGUAUUGCUGAAACCAGUCCAGGCACCUCACAAAUAUCUGACUUCUCCACAUGCUUCAGAAGUGCAGUGAGCAGCAGAGGAGAGCCAUGGAGCCAAGCACAGUUUCAUUUAACCUCCCCAAAAGCUUGGGAAGUGGGUGGUGUUAUAGCCCCAUUUUACAGAUGUGAAAAACUGAGGCUCAUUUAAGUAGCUCACCUAAAGUCACAUAUUGAUUGUGCUGAACUGAGACUGUACCCUGAUCUGCCUUCGGAUCCAUGUUUUUACCCAUUGCAUAUGAUUAUGGAACUGGGACAGGGAAGCAGGCAGAGAACAUUCUAAAUCCUGCUCCCAUCUUGUCUUUACAUCUCAGGUCACUUUUAGCAAAGACAGACCCACACACUUGCCAUUAAUCCCAUGGUCUUCCUUCCUCCUGCCCCCUCCCACAUAAUUUUAUUUAUCUCACCUCUCCAGUAGGUCCUAGACUCUUGCAUUUUAGCAUUAAAGAAGGCCAAGGCUCAGAGGUUAAGCGACUUGCUGGAGAUCAUCAAAGCGGAAGGUGCCAGACCCAGGCUUGGACGUGAAUGCUUGCUUUAAAUUCACUCCUCUGGCAGGAGACUGGGGAAUACACACGAGCCAGGCAGACAGCAGUGGGCAGUCCUGAGGGCAGGGGCGCCGGAGGGUUUCUGGUACUUUCCAGGGCAAUUGAAGUUCCAGUCACUACUCCCUCCAGAGCAACGAGCCCCGACCUGCGAUGUUUGGCACCCACACUGGCUGCUACAGAUGGGACUGGAUGCAGAAGAGAACUCCAGCUGGUCCUUAGGGACACAGCGGCCUUGAUGCUGAAGGCCAUUCGCUCCCACCUUGUCCUCACGGUCCAGUUUUCCCAGGAAUCCCUUAGAUGCUAAGACGGGGAUUCCUGGAAAUACUGUUCUUGAGGUCAUGGUUUCACAGCUGGAUUCGCCUCCUUCCCAGCCCAGAGUUGCCCCCCAUGGGGCCUUGGCUGGAGCACGAGAUGAGGGUUCAAGAAGAAAGCUGUCCCUGGAGGUAAGAGGGCUUGUGAACCAUGUUCCCAACCUUUGCAUUGCUUUUCUUUCCAUCAUGUCUAUUUCAUAACAUCCCUGUGAGACUGGAUGUGGGAACUUCAGCACUGCCGUACUCUUGGGAAACUUGCCCAAGGCUACCCAGAUGAGCAGCGGUUGAACCGGGACACCAUCAGGCAUGCCUCUUGUCUCCACCACACCCUCACCCCACUUCCCAAUGCUGCUUGCGACAGGGGCCGCAAUAUUGCCUCCACAUGACUGAUAAACUAGUAAACACACAUGAUUUCCUUUUUAAAGUGUAUUCAGUCAGUUAGGUAAGUGAAAAACCGUAAGCCUUCAUUCGAUUUGGAAUGCAGCCAGAGAAGAAAUGAAAAAUUUUUCAAGGUAGAGAAGAUAAAACUCAGAUCGCCCUCUUGUGGUGCCUCUACCCACCCCAGGAACACUAGAGCUUUUCCCCUGCACGUGGUGAUCUCUAAUCUUGCUGCAAGAUAUGGACACACACACACACACACACUGAGCUUCCUUUUGCCCCCCGCUUGGGAGUUCCUGGCUUCAGAGAGCUAUGAUUGUGCCUGUAAAUAGCCACUGCACUCCAGCCUGGGCAAUAGAGGCAAACCCUAUCUCUAAAAAUAUACACGAAUAAUUUUAAAAGUCAGCCUCUCUGAAUGCCUAUAAAGAAUUCUAGCUAACUGAAUGACAAAAGACCUAACGUGAUCCAGGUGCAAAAUUAGAACUUUCCCCAAACUCUUGCUAGGGCUUUUCACGGAGUUGUAGAAAACGGCAGUAGUUGCCAAGGCCCCAGAACCCUCAUUACAGGGUCUGACUCUCACAUUGCCAGGGACCAGGCGGCUUCCACAGCUGUCCCAAGCUGUGUUUCUCACAGGCCACAUUGAAGCCAUUUAUGAAAUGAGACUUCCUCUACCUAAUCCAGAGAGACAGGUCUGGCCUGACCAUGGAGAAAUCAGAUUUGCUAAUAAUCAUGAUAGCUUCCACUCCGCAACUGGUCACGAUCUGCCAGGCGCUGUGCUAAACACUUCCACAGGCCUUGUCCAAUCCAUCCUGAUAACACCCCAGCGAAGCAGGCUCUGCUGUUCACUCCACUCCACAAAGCCAAGGCUGAGAGAGGUUGACAGACUUACCUAAGGUCACACAGCUAAAAAGUUGCAAAGCUGGGAUCCAAUCAAAUCUGUGUUUGUGGGUUUAACUAUCGUGUUCUUGGCCCCAACCCCAUUUGGCCUAGCCUGGCUGCUGGGCUGCCUCGCCGUAGCUUCCCCUGGAGAAGAGGAAAAGCAAGCCUUCCUUGAGACCCAAGUGGUCUCUCCUGUGUUCUGUGAUAAUAAUAAAGUCCUGGUCCUUGG